UAAAUGCUUUUGAAAUUCCCUACAGUCAGAAGAUUCCAGACAUGCCUUCAGAUGUAGUCGGAGCAUUAAUGUUUCUGGAGGACUAUGUGCGUUACACUAAACUGCCCAGAAAGGUGGCAGAGGCUCAUGUGCCGAGUUUCAUUUUCGAUGAAUUCAGGACUGUGCUGUAAACAUGCCUGUCAUAAUGUCAAAUCAUAUUCGAUAUCAUUCAUCUAUCUCUUAAAGCACUAAUGAAAUUGAGCAAUUAGCAUUUUUAACAUUUCAAUUUUUAAACAUGGUGAUCUUUUGUAGCUGACUGGAUGUCUGUCUGCUGGUGUAAUAAAUGUCAUAUGUGUGUUUUGAUACAACUUUUUAGCACACUUUCGAAGAAUGAAUCACUUUAACUCACAACCUCUGAUGAUUUAUUGCUUUUAUAAAAUGAUGGCAACAUCAACCUCAUAUGAUUUUCCUUUUUUGCGGAUAUCGUUGGUUUAACUCAUCCUAUCAGAAUUUAGACUGUGAAUUAUUAUUUCGAGGUACUAAAACUUAAGGGGUGUUACACUGUACCUUUUUUUUGUACACAACACAGGAGACAGGAUUUGAAUGAAAGUUUAACUUUUAUCUUAAAUAUAUUACAAUACUGAAUGGAUACUGUAUGAAAAAAAGAGCUUUUAUCGUUUUAAUUAUCAGUCUAUGUACAGCACACAAUGAAAGAAAAUUAUAGCCAUGAAGAAUCUAUGAAUACCAACACUGCGUACACGGUCAGAUGAACAGAAGUGAAACAACAGGGUGUGACAGCGGCUGACUUGAUAAAGACCUUA